AACGAACGCUGGCGGCAGGCCUAACACAUGCAAGUCGAACGCCCCGCAAGGGGAGUGGCAGACGGGUGAGUAACGCGUGGGAACAUACCCUUUCCUGCGGAAUAGCUCUGGGAAACUGGAAUUAAUACCGCAUACGCCCUACGGGGGAAAGAUUUAUCGGGGAAGGAUUGGCCCGCGUUGGAUUAGCUAGUUGGUGGGGUAAAGGCCUACCAAGGCGACGAUCCAUAGCUGGUCUGAGAGGAUGAUCAGCCACAUUGGGACUGAGACACGGCCCAAACUCCUACGGGAGGCAGCAGUGGGGAAUAUUGGACAAUGGGCGCAAGCCUGAUCCAGCCAUGCCGCGUGAGUGAUGAAGGCCUUAGGGUUGUAAAGCUCUUUCACCCACGACGAUGAUGACGGUAGUGGGAGAAGAAGCCCCGGCUAACUUCGUGCCAGCCGCCGCCGUAACAC
rnacentral:rRNA from 1 species